rnacentral:lncRNA from 1 species
AAAAACAAAAACAACAUUAGUAACUCCAGCAGAAAUAGCGUAAAUAAUUAUCUUAACAUAAGAACCAUAAAUAAAAUAGCAUGCAAUAAUAUCAGAUCGUAACUACCAUAAACAGCUACCAUACGGGAAACACAAUCCAACACACAAAUCAUCUACGGAUAGCCUUGCCAAGCCUCACCCAACCCCGGGUUAGAAGUACGAAAAACUCAGGAGCCCCUAUCCUACAACCCUGAUACUAGACCUCCAGACUUUUCUAUCAAGGGUCAUGUCAUCGGAAACCCGCAUUCUAGCCAUGUCAUGCCUAAUCACCUCUCCCCAAUACCUCUUAGGCCUCCCUCUGCUAUCCAAGUAUUCUAAAUAGUAGUCAAUUUAUGUCUCCUUCAAUAUUUACCAUCAUUGUUU